rnacentral:tRNA from 1 species
GUUACUUUAACAAAAAGUGUAUUAAAUUUAGAAUUUAAAAAUGUAAUUAAGAUUACAAGUAAUA